rnacentral:rRNA from 1 species
CGCAAGCCUGACGGAGCAAUACCGCGUGGGGGAUGACGGUCUGUGGAUUGUAAACCCCUUUUCUCUAGGAAGAAGUUCUGACGGUACUAGAGGAAUCAGCAUCGGCUAACUCCGUGCCAGCAGCCGCGGUAAGACGGAGGAUGCAAGCGUUAUCCGGAAUUAUUGGGCGUAAAGGGUCCGCAGGUGGUGGGGCAAGUCGGCGGUUAAAGACUGGGGCUUAACUCCAGAAAGGCCGUGGAAACUGCACCACUAGAGGGCAGUAGGGGUAGAGGGAAUUCCCGGUGUAGCGGUGAAAUGCGUAGAGAUCGGGAAGAACACCAGUGGCGAAAGCGCUCUACUGGACUGCAACUGACACUGAGGGACGAAAGCUAGGGGAGCG